AGUUUGAUCCUGGCUCAGAAGCGAACGCUGGCGUGCAGGCCUAACACAUGCAANUCGAACGGACCUUUCGGGGUUAGUGGCGGACGGGUGAGUAACGCGUGGGAACGUGCCUUUUGGUUCGGAAUAGCUCCUGGAAACGGGUGGUAAUGCCGAAUGUGCCCUUUGGGGGAAAGAUUUAUCGCCAUUAGAGCGGCCCGCGUCUGAUUAGCUAGUUGGUGAGGUAAAGGCUCACCAAGGCUACGAUCAGUAGCUGGUCUGAGAGGAUGACCAGCCACAUUGGGACUGAGACCCGGCCCAAACUCCUACGGGAGGCAGCAGUGGGGAAUCUUGCGCAAUGGGCGAAAGCCUGAUGCAGCCAUGCCGCGUGUAUGAUGAAGGUCUUAGGAUUGUAAAUACUUUCACCGGUGAAGAUAAUGACUGUAGCCGGAGAAGAAGCCCCGGCUAACUUCGUGCCAGCAGCCGCGGUAAUACGAAGGGGGCUAGCGUUGCUCGGAAUUACUGGGCCGUAAAGGGAGCGUAGGCGGACAUUUAAGUCAGGGGUGAAAUCCCAGAGCUCAACUCUGGAACUGCCUUUGAUACUGGGUGUCUUGAGUGUGAGAGAGGUAUGUGGAACUCCGAGUGUAUAGGUGAAAUUCGUAGAUAUUCGGAAGAACACCAGUGGCGAAGGCGACAU
rnacentral:rRNA from 1 species